GACGAACGCUGGCGGCGUGCCUAACACAUGCAAGUCGAACGGAAAGGCCCUGCUUUUGCGGGGUGCUCGAGUGGCGAACGGGUGAGUAACACGUGAGUAACCUGCCCUUGACUUUGGGAUAACUUCAGGAAACUGGGGCUAAUACCGGAUAGGAGCUCCUGCUGCAUGGUGGGGGUUGGAAAGUUUCGGCGGUUGGGGAUGGGCUCGCGGCUUAUCAGCUUGUUGGUGGGGUAGUGGCUUACCAAGGCUUUGACGGGUAGCCGGCCUGGGAGGGUGACCGGCCACAUUGGGACUGCGGUACGGCCCAGACUCGUACGGGAGGCAGCAGUGGGGAAUAUUGCACAAUGAGCGGAAGCCUGAUGCAGCAACGCCGCGUGCGGGAUGACGGCCUUCGGGUUGUAAACCGCUUUCGCCUGUGACGAAGCGUGAGUGACGGUAAUGGGUAAAGAAGCACCGGCUAACUACGUG
rnacentral:rRNA from 1 species